rnacentral:lncRNA from 1 species
AUUAUUCAUGAAUAAGUAUAUACUACCUUCUGAAUGUUUGGAGUAGUACACUAAAAAAAUUCCUUGCAGAAGGAAAAUGUUAUAUCUAAGAUAAGGAGAAUAGAGUAUAUAUGCCCAGGAAAUAUACUUUUAAUGCAUCGUCGGUAGAAGUAUGCAUUUAUUUUCAUGAUACAACCUUUACAUUGAAGGAAUCAUGCACGUACAAAGUUGAACAUCAAAUCAGUUUUCAGUCCACAUCGGACUGAGAUUGCGUGAUUUUGGUAGGGAGAAAAUUUGAAGGAUAUAGAUGCUACUAUGUAUGGUAUUUACAUCGCUAGUCUUGGUUCAAGAAUCAAGAGGAUACAAUACACGGCACGCAUAUAAAAACUAGUACCAAACUGAUGUGUAGCAGGGGGAUAUACCUCGGACGUUGAAUGAUAUAAAAAAAUACCUCGUAGAGUGGUGGCUUAACUAGUAACUAGAGUAUUACAGGACCAAUGUUUGUAUUCAUCAGCGCUGUCGUCAACGAUAGAAAUGCAAAAUUCGUUGUUUCACCAUCUGGGAUGAAAAAAUUGUCUACGCCUUGCCGCCGCCGACACACAUGUUGCACGGCACGCACUUGAUAGAUGUGAAUAGCACAGGUUCCCGGCCACCGCGACUCAGCUCGUAUAUUUCAUCAAGCCUUCGUCGCACGCGUCUCGUCUUCUUUGUCGCCGCUGGCCCGCCGCUAUGGCAUCUCAUCUUUGCCGUCGUGUAGCGAUCGACCGCCCGACUUCAGCACUGAGCGACCUGUAACAAGCAAGAGUAGGAACAUAUGAAUGCAUGAAUUAACAAGAACACUACGUCCGAUUAACUAUGUGGAAGAAAUUAUUAGCUCGUUGAUUUUGACGAUCGGCGCCCGACGCCCAGCGGCCAGCGAAGAUGGUUCCGGCGAGAAUAACCGAGUUGUGAGUCGCUGCCUAUAUGUGGG